UUCAUAAUAGAACACAUUUGGCCCGCCAUCGGCGGUCUAUCCAAUUUCCACCUAAUUGUUUUCAUUCAAUUCUGACACGGUCAAAACCAAAAAUGAAAACGGUAAAACAAUAAUAACAAAAAUUGGCACAGGGACAGCUAGUAUGAUAAUACAAUAGCGUAAUAAAUGUUUGUUAGGUGUAACGACAAGUGUGUUUUCUGGCAUCCGUACUUUCGGAAUCACACAUUUUAACACCACGCGGUGCUUUAUUUUAUACAGUUCUGUACAACCAUCGAAAACUCUAAAAAUUCAAUUUAAUCUCGUAGGUGCUGCGAUAACGUGUACAAUAGAGAAUAAGGGUGGCCGAAACACUUAUUGUAAAAAUUGUAAAAUCACUAUCUCCUUCACUUUACUGGGCGUCUAAAGCAGAAGUUAUUGUGUCGUAUAAUAAUACAAUCAAGGGAUCGAUGUAUAUCUGUUUAUUAUCAGAUACAUCGGGUAAAAGUUCUCU